rnacentral:rRNA from 1 species
CAAUAGCGUAUAUUAAAGUUGUUGCAGUUAAAAAGCUCGUAGUUGGAUUUGUGGCGUACGGUGUGUUCCGGGCACUUGUUGUCUGAGUAACCUGCUGUUGCCAUCCUUGGGUGGAACCUGUGUGGCAUUAGGUUGUCGUGCAGGGGAUGCCCAUCAUUUACUGUGAAAAAAUUAGAGUGUUCAAAGCAGGCUUAUGCCGUUGAAUAUAUUAGCAUGGAAUAAUGAGAUAGGACUUUUUUGCUAUUUUGUUGGUUUGCGCAAGAAGGUAAUGAUUAAUAGGGACAGUUGGGGGUAUUCGUAUUCCAUUGUCAGAGGUGAAAUUCUUGGAUUUUUGGAAGACGAGCUACUGCGAAAGCAUUUACCAAGGAUGUUUUCAUUAA